rnacentral:lncRNA from 1 species
CCAUAUAAAACAUACAAAAAACCUUUUGAAAAAUAAAAACAAACCAAACACCUAAUCCCUAACCUGAGAUGGCCUAACUUUUCUGUAUUUAAGUUAUUUUAUGGUCUUUCCCGUCCCCUACAGGUUAACCCCUUUAGGAUGACUGUCGCCAUGGCCACAACAAUAAUGCCCACAAAAUGAGCGCCCACUCAGCAAAGUGUACAGUCAUCUUGUACUCAGAACAGUCACCUCUGGAAAACCCAUGAGCACAUAAUAAUAUCAGCUCCAUUAAAUCCACAACUCCCCAUUCAGAUGCCUAUCGCGGACUAGAAAUCUGGAUCUAUAUUUUUAUUUUAAAGUCAUAACUGAGCAAAAAGGUUGAAUGCAAUAAGGUGCUCAGCAUCUAAGAGGUAACUGGAAACCCUUAUUUCCCAUCUGUUAGCAGGCUUUCAGUAUGAUGCAGGAUGACACUCCUAGAUUGCUUCUAACUUGAACUGAUUUAACAUCCCCAACAUCCAAAGGGAGUCUAGCUUUUCUAAUGAGAUGGAAUAUUUCAAAUCUGAAUGGUGCUAUUUUGUACACUCAAAAUGGUAAACAUAUCUUGAUUUUCUUUGAGUUUGGCUUAUUCUUUGGAUCUCAUUGAGAUCUACAAAACAAGUCAAGCUAUAUAUUUCUAUCUUCAGAUGCCAUUUUAGUUACCUGUGCAGAAAAUUUCCAAUCAGAGCAUAUUGGGAACACUAUUUUUUCAGCGCAUGCCUAUGAAACCUUAGGCAGCCUUUUGACUUUCCAAAAAUAGUUCACCUUCAUUCUGAAAUGUAGGAAUGAAAAUUUCUGCCCUGAGGAACGUAUCUGCUGUUAUAAGCAUAUAUAGUAACCAGGUGUUUUUUUUUAAAUAGAUACAAGAGUUUAUUUUGGAAAUAAUAGGUUAUGAUAUGAACAAGAAGUCAACUCAAACAUCACGACUCUGAGGGACAGCAAAUCCAACAUAGCAUCUACUGAAACUACCAAUGACUGGCGAUAGAAACAAGUUUGCCAUUAAGUUGUUCAGGGCAUCACUGGAUAUUGUCCUAAUCUUGGAGAAUGCUGUGCUGACUAAACCAGGCCAAAGAGAGGGAAACAGAUGAAAGCGCCACUUCCAUUAGCUCCACUUGGUCAACUAAGGCUGUAUCUAUACAGUACCAUUGUGGACCAGAGAAUUGAGGUCUAACUGCCUGAUGUGGACUCUUCUGCCGCAAACUAAAAGGUACCUAGUUCGUGUUAACGUAGUCCUAUUUGAAU